GGUGACUGGAUCAUGGGAGCAGUUUCCCCAAGCCGUUCCAGUGAAAGCGAGUUCUCAGGAGAUCUGAUGGUUUAUAAGGCAGUGUUCCCUGCUCUUGCCCGCUCUCUCUAGCCUGCUGCCAUGUGAGACAUGCCUCUUCCCCUUCCGCCAUGAUUGUAAGUUUCCUGAGGCCUCCCUGGCCACACGGAACUGUGAGUCCAUUAAACCCCUUUUCUUUAUAAAUUACUGAGUCUCGGGUACAUCUUUAUAGCAGCAUGAGAACCAACUCAUACACCUGUAGACAGCCACACAUUCCACCUCCUUUCAGUCUCCACCUGCAAGAGAUCUACAGACUUGGCCUCUCUAACCGGUUUAUUCCUCCUCAGAGAACCACCACCAGCAGCCUGUUUAGUGUCUGCUCCCAACCUGAGGAUGUCAAUGGCCAGGGCUUGGCUGCUCACCCCACACACCCAGGGCCUGGAGUGCAGAGCUCAGCCAGGCAAAUAAACAUCAACACGUCCUCUUGCC
rnacentral:lncRNA from 10 species